rnacentral:rRNA from 1 species
CAGUGGGGAAUAUUGCACAAUGGCCGAAAGCCUGAUGCAGCGACGCCGCGUGAGGGAUGACGGCCUUCGGGUUGUAAACCUCUUUCAGCAGGGAAGAAGCGCAAGUGACGGUACCUGCAGAAGAAGCACCGGCUAUACUACGUGCCAGCAGCCGCGGUAAUACGUAGGGUGCGAGCGUUGUCCGGAAUUAUUGGGCGUAAAGAGCUUGUAGGUGGUUUGUCGCGUCUGCUGUGAAAAUCCGAGGCUCAACCUCGGACUUGCAGUGGGUACGGGCAGACUAGAGUGUGGUAGGGGAGACUGGAAUUCCUGGUGUAGCGGUGGAAUGCGCAGAUAUCAGGAGGAACACCGAUGGCGAAGGCAGGUCUCUGGGCCAUUACUGACACUGAGAAGCGAAAGCAUGGGGAGCGAACAGGAUUAGAUACCUGGUAGUCCAUGCCGUAAACGUUGGGAACUAGGUGUGGUCUCAUUCCACGAGAUCCGUGCCGCAGCUAACGCAUUAAGUUCCCCGCCUGGGG